AUAAAAAAACCCCUUCAUUCAUUACCAUUGGAGGAGGUUAGGGACUAACUCACAGGGAAAGAAUUAACCAUCUGUCUUGUACCUCUGGUUAAUCAAAUAGUUGAUAAGGGGAAGUUUCUCUUUGUAGAAAUAUUCCAAAAGUGAUAUCAGAAUUAGAAUAUCAUCAUUUUGCAAAUCCUUAGUGAACUAAUGUACCCAGGCACUGGUCAUCCGUAUCGGGUCACGUCACAGGAGAGUCUGCCAGACUGCCUUCUGGUGGAAGAACUUAUGAAGUAGUUUUGUCACCUAAGUGAACUUGAAUCUCCUCAAAAUCUCAACAGUAAAUCUAAGAGCAUGUUCGUGGGAAACUCAGAGGACAGAGCGACAUGUCAAACCACGUCGCGGGCGUGCAGUAAGUGAAGUCGUGCUGUGUGGAUCAGUAGUCGAUUUCUUUACGUUGCUGAGCGGUACAUCACUCAGCUUCUACUUCUAUCUGAAGACGACGACAGUGCCUGUCUCAACACAUCUUGCUGAGCGUUAAGCAUUAAAAUGUGUUGAAAGCUUUGUUAAGAUGAUAGGAAAAAAGUAUCACCCUUUUCAGCAAAUCUAAAAAUUUUUAAAAUACUUCCUAAGAUGGUAGGGAAGACAAGUGUCUAUAUUUUAAUUUGUGUUUCAUUGCCAGUGAGGGCACACAUCUUUGCUACUUUUUGAUGGGGGAACAAGCACAGGUGGAGUGAUCCUCUGGCCUCAGGCUCACUGCUGAGCUAUGGUUUGGCUAUCACAGAGCAUCUCUUUUCUGCGAGAGCCGUAGGGUCACCCAAAUAUAAAAGAACAUGAAGAAAAAGGGUGGGCUACGCCCCCUUUUUGCCAUGAUGCUCAGAAACAGUAGUUGCGGCCCUUCUCUGGUCACCCCAUAGUGUGAUGGAAUAUUCUGGAAAGCCUCUAGGUGGGAACGUUGCAGGAGGUGGCUUUUAUGAUUGGCCUGAGCCGGAAGCUGCCCCCCUCCAUGCCUCCAUUCACUCAACACUUCUGUGCUGUAUCUACACAGUGACUUGUGCACCCCUAUGCCAGUGUGAGUACUGCAUCUUCCCACCCAGGAGACCCUGAAGUCUAGCAAAGCCUAGCUAUUCAGCACUUUGGAUAACAAGUGUGGUUAAUCAGUACUGUUGGUGCUCUAGUGGGAAGAAGUACAAAGCCUGAGUACCUUUCUGCAGGUGGGGAUGGCUUCACAGGGGAACUGACAAAAUAGAGCUAGAUCUUAACAAUAAAUAUGAGCCUGUCAGCUGGAGAAAAGAGAGGAGAGCAUCUGACACCAAGCUGUGGGGAAGCAGUGGGUGAUUUGUAAUGGGAGCACCAAGGAUGAAUUUUGGUAGCCACGUGACCGAGGUCUAACAGAGCUGAGCAGAAGUGAUGUGCACGACUCCAAGCCCGGAGUGUGGGCUUCAGCCCCCUCUGCAGGCUCUGCUCUGCUCUCGUCCCCUUCCAGAUGGGGACACCACCCACGUGGUUAUGGAAGCCACGCUUGACGAUGGCAGAGACUAUCACCCUGGCGACCAUAACAAUUU